GUGCAGCAGUCGAGAAACCUUUACAAUGCACGAAAGUGUGAUAAGGUUACCCGGAGUGCUAAAAUUAAAUUUUAGCUGUUAUAGGUGUGUAAAUAACCCUAUGAGAAAGGAGAGGGCAAGGCUGGUGCCAGCCGCCGCGGUAAAACCAGCUCUUCAAGUGGUCGGGAAUAUUAUUGGGCUUAAAGUGUCCGUAGCCGGUUUAGUAAGUUCCUGGUUAAAUCUGGCAGCUUAACUGUCAGUCAGCUAGGAAUACUACUUUACUAGAGGGUGGGAAAGGUUUUGAGGUACUCCAGGGGUAGCGGUGAAAUGCGAUAAUCCUUGGGGGACCACCAGUGGCGAAGGCGUCAAACUGGAACACGCCUGACGGUGAGGGACGAAAGCCAGGGGAGCGAACGGGAUUAGAUACCCGUGUAGU
rnacentral:rRNA from 1 species